rnacentral:sRNA from 1 species
CGAUUCUACACAAAUUGUCAUGUUAGAGCAGGUCCAUUGGGGAUUGAAAAUUUCUUAUCAAGAAUCCUUAGCAAAAUAAGACAAAAUUUAAAUGAAACAUGUGAUAUAAACUUACGAACGACCUAAGCUUAGAGUUUUUUUUGGUGUUAAGGUUCGAUGACGUGUCCAUUUCUCAUUGGACGCGUGUUUUGACAAAACAAUAUUUUUUUUUCAGUUGCCUGUGGUUUUUCUCAUUUCUGGAUAUCUCUAUUCUCUUCUUUGGUGCGAUGGCGAUUGAACGGUCUCUGAUGAUCAUCAGCCUCACGCGUUCAUGUUCAUCAAAUCGGAAGAGAAUAUCAACGAAAUUCGUCUCUUAUCCACUGUCCUCAUCAUCUCAACCGACGGUGGUCAACAUGGACGAGUUUGGUGAACCAAAUCGGAGAGAAAACGUGCAUAAAUUGGAGAUUUGUGUCAAGCCAUGGUCCAAUCAAAUUCUGAAUAUAUAGAUCUAACAAUUUAAUUGUGUAUAUCGGGAUUAAUUAGGGUUAUUGUUAGAUUUUAUCAAAAUUAGGGUUUCCUGAAUAGGGAAUUUUAGAAGAUAAAUUAGGGUUAAUUGAUGGUAAUUGUUGACAUUUCUAAGACAAGAAUAGAUUGAUACUCAUUGAGCUUAUUAGAAGAGAAAUUGAAUAGCUCAUGAAAAGCUUUAUUGUGCAAAGAAUCUAAAGAGAGAGAGAGAAGCUUUAAGAUUGUCUAGAAGAACAAAAAUGAUUUUGAUUGUGAUUCAUAUAAAUGUUUGAGGGUGACUGCUCAGAGAGGCAGCCUUGGUUACAUGACAACAUCAUAGAUAUAUAUAUAUAUAUAUAUAUAUCUUAUUAUAUAAAGUACGGAGUUACUAACUCACGAGAUCAUGACACGUGUCAGGUCUAUCAUUGAGAUGUUGACAUAUGUUAAAAAAAAGUUUCUU